UCCACCUCAUCCGCUGACAGACAAGAGCGCAAUCACCCGCGGGCCUUGGGCUUGGGCCUUGGAAUAGGGUACCACCAACCAAUCAAUCGAAGAAGAGGCCCGCCGGCCGCCGCGGUUUGCUCGCUAUCGCUCCCUUGCUGGCUGCGGUGCGGGUGCGCCGCCGUCGACGAGGGAGUCCCUGGCUCCCUCCCUCCGGGUUCGAAUUCGGGUUGCUUCCUUAGGGUUCAGUGGCAGUACAUAGCAUGGCCCUAAAGCUCGGCUGGAGGAGAGGAGGAGGAGGCUGGCUUGCGCUUCCAUUGGGGAAUCGGACCACCGCGUCUUCCUCCGCAUGCAGCAGCUCCAACUUGUUCGUCGGCGGUCUUUCCUACGACACUAACGAGACAGCUCUCAAGGAUGUUUUCUCUCAAUGUGGUGAUGUUAUUGCGGCGAAGGUUAUAUGCCAUCCCACAAGCGGCAAGUCGAAAGGAUUUGGUUUUGUCAAGUUUUCUUCGCAAAACCAAGCUGACGCAGCAUUGCAAAAGAUGAACGGUGCUUGAUGGAAGGAAAAUUCGGGUGCACUAUGCAAACGGGACUGGAUGACUUGUGAUUUAGAAACAGAUAGAAAAUGAGAUGAGCAGGUGAUGAUUGAUGAGCAUCCAGCGGCUGGAUCUUAAAAAUCCGCAUUCGCCAUUGAAGUUUUGUUGAGAUCUCGAAGCUGUAAAAACUCGGACGAACUCAAGCGAGACAAAGAUUUCUCUUGGUGACACGGACUGUUAUAAGAUGUUUUCUGUGAGGAAAAAGUUAGUCUAUCAUAUUUUUACUUGCCACUAUUUUUAUUUGGUUUGUAAAAUAAAAUGAGUUGAUCCACUCAUAGUUAGUUAAUACUAAGGUUAUCUUCAGUAACAUCCUCUAAAUUUUAUUCCCUAAAAGAAUAUUUUUUGUCCUUUACAAAUCACUCUAAAAGAUUCCGUCCUCUAUA